ensembl:lncRNA
CUGGGCGGAGCGGCCUGGGACGCGCCCUUGCGAACCGCCAGGCGGCGUCGCGCGAGUCAAACGCUAGACGCUGAGGGAAACCGGGAAGACGCCCUGGGGCCCCCUCAGGUGGAAGCAAAGGCGGCCUCAGUGUUACUUUCUCUUCAGCUCAGGCUGUGACUCCCUUGUUUUAAACGUGAAAAUCCCUUCUUUUCAAACGAAAAGCCAUUUCUCCCCGCGCCUGCUGAAUGGACUAUAUUAAAGGCCAUGGGGGCACAGGAACACCUCACGGGCGUGGCUCACUGACAUGUGACGUGUUAGAGCCCUUUGGGAAAAUAAUCCCGAAAAAGUUAUUACAGUGUUUAAUGUGCGUGAUCUUUGACCCAGCCAUGUUUCUGAGAAUCUUCUAGAAGUAAAAGGAACGGUAGAUGAGGUACGUACAGAAGCAUUUGUGUGGAGGAAGUAGGGCGAUGGGAGCAACGCGGUUGAUCGUUAUCCAGACUGGGACACAGCUCUAACCAGCGUGCAUUAAAUCUCUGCCUAUUGACCUAGAAAGACAUCUAUGAUGUGAAGUGAAAAAAGAAAGCUGUAUAAAAAUGUCUAAAUCGGUAGCAAGAAGUGAAUCCCUUGUGUGUGUGUGUGUGUGUGUGUGUGAAUGUGGUGGAAUAUUUUUGAACGGGCGGAGAAAGCUGAGGCAGGACCAUGGCUGUGGGCACUGAUAUUGUAGGAAGUAUGCAGUAGUAGGUGUUAGCAAAAGUGGGAAAGAAAGUUGAGGGGCAGAAAGAUUGUGCGGAAAAAAAUACUUACCGUAUUCAAUUAACUUAAAAUGAACAUAAAAUUCUAGUUUUAAUAUUACUACUAAAGUGCUGUUAAGUGCUGUUAAGCUACCAAAGAUCUAUUAAGUGUAUGAAGAGUAGAUAACAGGGACAGAUGAAAAUGAGUUAGGGGAUGGGGUGAGGAGCAAUUUUUCUCCUGGAUUUUAAUUGCUUAAAAACUUGUCAUUGUGUAUUUUUUAAUAAAAUUUUAAGUUCAGUUUUAUUUGUUUAUUUUUGGCCAUGCUAUGGGACUUGCAGGUUCUUGGUUCCCCGAACAGGGAUUGAACCUGGGCCCCCGUAGUGAAAGUGCUGAGUCCUAACCACUGAAUCACCAGGAAAUUUACUGAACUUUAAAAUUUUAAUUGUGGUUUUAGUACAGUUUGACAAUAAAAUAACAUUUUUUUUUUUAAGGUGAUUUUGUUAUCCAAAAGCUUGGUUUGCCUCUUGGUGGGUGUUGAGCCAAAAGACACAACCAAGUCAAAGAUCCAUCAGGAGAAAGAAGGAUUUACUACCUGCAACAACUUGGCCUUGUAGAGAGAAGAAAACUCCCCUGCUCAACCUGGAGGAGCUGAUGAUGGAAGCAUGAAGUCUACUCAAGAAAAAGUUAUUCUCCCCCUCCCCACUUUUCCUCUGACUGUAAAACUGUAGCCCAAUCCCGCCAGGCCUGGCUCUCAGCGUCCUCAGAGCGCCUGUCCAGAGGGACCACAUUCUCCUCAGUAAAGCUGCACCUCCACUCCCGCCUUCACGAGGCAGCCAGGCCCCAGGUGCCGUGUUCUCGCUCGCCUUUCACCGCCACAGAAGCUUCCGGAGGAAGAGAACAGGUCUGCUGUUUGUUCACCUUGUAAGUAGAGCAGCGGCUGGGAUACUGCGGGUGCUCUAAGGUAGGGGUGUGUGUGUGUGUGUGAGAGACACUGAGUGCUCUAAAGGGUGUGUGUGUGUGAUACCGUGGGUGCUCUAAGAGGAGUGUGUGUGUGCGUGCGCAUGCUCUUAAGUGACCAUAAGGAAGCACCCUCACCCAUGACCACGGCACAGCCAGUCACACCUCUGUGUUCCUCCAUGUUUCGGCAACUGCUUCCCCAACAACACAUCUAAUAAGGUAAUAAGACAUUCAAACUUUUCACACUGAAACCAUCAGAACUAGAAGGAGUCUAAGUUUGACACAGCUUUUCACAUUCUCAAAUUAAUCUCUCAAGACUCAAUAAGCAGAAAAAGGGAACAGGAAGUCAGAACUGGAUAUAGAAUUCAGAUUUUUUUCUUUCAAAGACACAUUUUAUACAACUUUCAACAUUUAUACUUUCAAACAAAAGGAGCAAAAAAUACACCGAUUGCUAAAAAAAAAAAAUCAAACUGAAGUAAUACAAGUUUAAUUUCAAUAUUUUAAAAUACAGAAAUUGAAAAGUAGGAAUACCAAAUACAACUUUAAACAAGUCACUUGUCCUUCUCUAUAAUAAUCAAUGUAAACUACUUAAAAACUUACAAAUUUAAAACAAACAAAAUAAAUACUGUACACUUUCCCUGCCUGCAGGCAAAAGAUGGGAAAUACUGUUAUGAAUCGGAAAAAAAAAAAAUGCUCUUAAAGCUUCAGCAUCCCACUUCCCAGCCACACCCCACUCUGCCGUCACAGUGUGCUUCUGUAUUCAAAGGACACACGUGUGCACACACGCUGACUGCCUACCCACACAACAAGACACUACUCUGCAGACACCCCGAACGAGAAAGGCUACCAGUCACCUGGGACCGUGGACAUGAAAAUCAGGUCAGGAAAGUCAGUCAGGCUAGCAAAACAUUACUACAAAACUAGUAAAUACCAGAGCCAACAAUUGUCCCUUUUCAAAUUUCACAGAGUUCAACCCCCUAAAACCAAGACUACCCCUCCCUGUCACCACCCUCUACCCUCCCCCCAGCACCCCCAAAUCAAACAAACCUGCUGAAGCACUGGCGAAGUUAGACAUUUCACAGCAAAUGUGAAAAUUCAUAUUAUAUAAUCUCUUAAAAUGAACCUUUUCACCCUCUUUCCACAGCAUGAAACUGUUAUGGCUUAAUUUAUAUUAAAAGUAGAAAAGUCUUUUCGGAAGGAAACGCGGUCUGCCAAGAUGCAUGUGCAUUUCCUGAUCAGUGCUAUUUCAUACCUAACAACUGCAUGACUUGCUUUGCAGUCAGAAGCUGUUUUCGGAAAAACUGAGGUUAUAGCUUUUGAUUCAGUCUAACCAUAAAUGUAAGGCCCUUAGUUUGGUUUAGGUUUCUUUUGCAAGAUAAAAUAACCUUGGGGUUCACUUAGCAAGUUACACCUCAGGUCCCUGACUAUAAUGUGGAAGUUAUAUGUAUGCUUUGCAAAAAUAAAAGGUGAAUCCUAUGAAUCUUAGAGGGAAGAAAUCAUUCUAGGCAAGGAAUCAACUCAUUAUUAUAUAUUACACCUGCUGCUGGUAAUGGUUACCCACCAAAAUCCACCAAAGAAAUAUGAGUAUUUCUGGGUUAUUUUUUUCCUGCAAGAUAUUAUAUUUUCUAGCACUUAUCAUCAUUGUUUUGGUGAAAAAUCUUGGGGGAAAACAGCUGACAAUUUGAAAAGGAAAUGGCCAAAAUAAACUGGGUGGAGGCAAGGUUUAUCUUUAUGAUUAAGUUCCAUUUAAGGUUGUCUUCUGAAAUAAAAGUGAAUUCAGAACAUCACAGGUCUUGCAUAGGUAAACUACUUGGAGGUCUUGGGCUACGUGGUAGCCAAGGUUUAUUAGUGAAAUAGUGCAGAGCAGAUAAAACUUGUUGGAAGAAUCACUGAACACAGUUUCAAAAAGGCUUUAACAACAACAACAAAAAAAUCAAUAUUACACUUGUUAAGACAAAGCUUCAGGACAUUAGAAAAGAACAGGAAGGGUGAGACGGAGACUCUAAGGAGUAGAAUGCAGGUAAAUGAGUAUUAAGUUUCCUAUACCCACUGAAGAAGAAAAGAAAUACCAUAACAGAAUAAAACUACAGUCAUGAUAAGCUAAUUGUUUUGGAAAUAGACAUUUGCUUCUUAAUGUCCUUAACUUAAAUUUUUAGGUAAGGGGUAUCAAAUAUUUGACUUACAGCAUGACAUUCACUGAAAAAUAAAAAAAUAAGGUUGUUUAGUAAGGCUACAGCAUUAAAACUCCAUUACGUUCAACAGCAAUGGUAGUGAGUAUGUCACUUCCUCUGUCUUUCCCCCUGGCUUCUAG